CUCUGGGCAGCAAGCGCGGCACGGCGCCGAGGCGUUCGAGGCGAGGAUGCGUCUCCUUGGGUGGCUCCAGGUUCUCGCAGUCGUUCUGCACUCGGCAAUGAGCGCGCCGAUGCUCGGGACGAAGAUGGCCGCCGUGCAGCACCCUCCACCAGCAACCACCCCGGCUCCAAUACCGUUGCCGGCACCGACAGUGUUCCCCCCCCUUGUGCGCCGAGUGCAUGAAGAGGUGCGGCGUCAGACAAUGCUGCCAUCUGGCGGGCUGUCGGCCGACCAAGGUCACCUGGCCUGGUUCUGGCUGAGGUGGCGGUAUGGCGGGAGGACGCCGCGAACUCUGGUCUUUGAUUUUACCGGCGGUUUGUGUUAUAACGAACGGGCGUGUGGCUGUGAUUUGUAAGACUAUGCCGCCGUAGAUGUUGCGUAGAUGGGAGACGGAGGACAAGUUCACGGAGGAUGUAAACGCUUCCUCGUGGCUUCAACGCAUGCCAUCUUCUUAAUACAUGAUGCGCACGCUGAUGUC
rnacentral:lncRNA from 1 species